rnacentral:rRNA from 1 species
CCUACGGGAGGCAGCAGUGGGGAAUAUUGGUCAAUGGGCGCAAGCCUGACCCAGCAACGCCGCGUGAAGGAAGAAGGCUUUCCGGUUUUAAACUUCUUUUUUCAGGGAAGAGUAGCAGACUGUACCUGCCGACUCAGCCACGGCUAACUACUUGCCAGCAGCCGCGGUCAUACGUAGGUGGCAAGCGUUGUCCGGCUUUACUGGGUGUAAAGGGCGUGUAGCCGGGUUGACAAGUCAGAUGUGAAAUCCUGCGGCUUAACCGCAGAACUGCAUUUGAAACUGUUGAUCUUGAGUACUGGAGAGGUAGACGGAAUGCGGAGUGUAGCGGUGAAAUGCGUAGAUAUUAGGAGGAACACCAGUGGCGAAGGCGGUCUGCUGGACAGCAACUGACGGUGAGGCGCGAAAGCGUGGGGAGCAAACAGGAUUAGAUACCCGAGUAGUC